CACGUAGGGGGCAAGCGUUGUCCGGAAUCAUUGGGCGUAAAGAGCGUGUAGGCGGCCCGGUAAGUCCGCUGUGAAAGUCCAGGGCUCAACCCUGGGAUGCCGGUGGAUACUGUCGGGCUCGAGUCCGGAAGAGGAGUGUGGAAUUCCUGGUGUAGCGGUGAAAUGCGCAGAUAUCAGGAGGAACACCAAUGGCGAAGGCAGCUCUCUGGGACGGUACUGACGCUGAGACGCGAAAGCGUGGGGAGCGAACAGG
rnacentral:rRNA from 1 species